CUCACUGCCAAUCUAUCUAUCGCUGCCAAUCUAUCGCCGCUGCCAAUCUAUCCCUCACUGCUAAGCUAUCCCUCGCUGCUAAGCUAUCCCUCACUGCUAAGCUAUCCCUCGCUGCUAAGCUAUCCCUCGCUGCUAAGCUAUCGCUGCCAAUCUAUCUAUCGCUGCCAACCUAUCGCUGCUGCCAAUCUAUCCCUCGCUGCUAAGCUAUCCCUCGCUGCCAACCUAUCUAUCGCUGCCAACCUAUCGCCACUGCCAAUCUAUCCCUCGCUGCUAAGCUAUCCCUCGCUGCUAAGCUAUCCCUCACUGCUAAGCUAUCCCUCGCUGCUAAGCUAUCCCUCGCUGCUAAGCUAUCCCUCACUACUAAGCUAUCUAUCACUGCUAAUCUAUCGCUGCCAACCUAUCUACCGCGGCGAAUCUAUCUAUUGCUGCCAACCAACCUACCACUGCCAACCUAUCUAUCGCUGCCAAUCUAUUGCUGCCAAUCUAUCGCUGCCAACCUAUCUACUGCAGUGAAUCUAUCUAUCACUAUCAUUACUAGUUCAAAAUAGAACUAGAGCAUAAAUACACUAAACUUCUUUUGAUAGAUAAUGAUUUUUGGUAACACUCAUAGCAUUAUAUCAUCUAUAUAGGGUAAAUCAUGAUCCCAUUUGGUCCCAUUUUAACAAAAUGGGACCAAAUGGGACCAGAAUCAGUAAUUUAUAAGAAGAACAUGACCUGACACUAGAUUUAUAAUAUAAACAGUGUAAAAUGACUAAUUUAAUAAACACUAUAUGGGAUCAGAACUAAGAAAUUUGAUAAUGAAACUGAAGAAAUAUUUAGUCCCAGUUCCAUGCAUGGUCACACAGCCAGUCUACUGUCCCUGUCUCUAUAUCAAUACUUGAAGAAUUGAAGAUAGACAAUAUCUCUGUGUCAGAAU
rnacentral:sRNA from 1 species